rnacentral:rRNA from 1 species
AAUGAACGCUGGCGGCAGGCCUAACACAUGCAAGUCGAACGCCCCGCAAGGGGAGUGGCGCACGGGUGAGUAACGCGUGGGAAUAUGCCCUUCGGUUCGGAAUAACACGGGGAAACUUGUGCUAAUACCGGAUACGAUCUACGGAUGAAAGAUUCAUCGCCGAAGGAGUAGCCCGCGUAGGAUUAGCUAGUUGGUGAGGUAAUGGCUCACCAAGGCGACGAUCCUUAGCUGGUCUGAGAGGAUGAUCAGCCACACUGGGACUGAGACACGGCCCAGACUCCUACGGGAGGCAGCAGUGGGGAAUAUUGGACAAUGGGCGAAAGCCUGAUCCAGCCAUGCCGCGUGAGUGAUGAAGGCCUUAGGGUUGUAAAGCUCUUUCGCCAGGGAAGAUAAUGACGGUACCUGGAAAAGAAGCCUCGGCUAACUCCGUGCCAGCAGCCGCAGUAACAC